rnacentral:rRNA from 1 species
UACGUAGGGUGCGAGCGUUGUCCGGAAUUAUUGGGCGUAAAGAGCUCGUAGGCGGUGUGUCACGUCGGCCGUGAAAACCUGGGGCUUAACUCUGGGCGUGCGGUCGAUACGGGCAUCACUAGAGUUCGGCAGGGGAGACUGGAAUUCCUGGUGUAGCGGUGAAAUGCGCAGAUAUCAGGAGGAACACCGGUGGCGAAGGCGGGUCUCUGGGUCGAUACUGACGCUGAGGAGCGAAAGCAUGGGUAGCGAACAGG